UACAUGGGGUGCAAACGUUGCUCGGAAUUAUUGGGCGUAAAGCGCACGUAGGCGGUUCGUUAAGUCGGAUGUGAAAGCCCUCGGCUCAACUGAGGAAGUGCACCCGAAACUGGCGAGCUUGAGUACGAAAGAGGAUCGCGGAAUUCCCGGUGUAGAGGUGAAAUUCGUAGAUAUCGGGGAGGAACACCGGUGGCGAAGGCGGGUCUCUGGGCAGUAACUGACGCUGAGGAGCGAAAAGCGUGGGGAGCGAACAGG
rnacentral:rRNA from 1 species